UUGGACUUUGAGAACUGUAUAAUUUAAGAGAGUUGGGGCCCAAUUUGUGAGGGUAGGAAAGAACAGCCUAUUCCCCUAACAGUUUCUUUGUUUAGCUCAAUAGAGAAGAAUGCAUUCGUAACCAGGAGACACAGAAAAGACAAAGGUUGCUAGCGUUUUCUAAGCUGCAUGAAGAGCAGAAUCUUCGAGGAGUUGCUCAUAGUAUGAAACUUCUUGAGCAAGCAGUAAAGCCUUUUGGUACAUUUCUUUGUACAUCCUUUAGCUAAAAUUGUAGUGAAAUUGCUUGAAAGGAGUUCAUUAUACUACCUGCAUUUCUCUUCAUAUAGCUUUCUCUAAAUGCUCUUUUUGACAUGGUUCAAAUCUUUCAUCCCAACAUUGAAGGAUUCCGUAAGUCAUUCAAUGGCAGAGUUUGAUGCAUCCUCUUCAGAAUAUUAAGCUAGGUUCAAACUUGCCCCUCUUCCUCUAUGAAGGAAAUACUUUCGGAAGGAGAGAUGCCAGCAACGUUAAGAUCAAUCUCCAUGAUAGCAACCCUACCCAUAAUCCCAUCUUCUUCAGAAAAUUUAGGCUUAGGAAGGCCCACAUAUUCACAAACUUCAAACAGGGCAAGUUUUCUAGACCUUUCAAGAUCCCAAGGUAAAAAAAUUAAACAGAGAGAAUUGACAUGAAUAUAAUCUUACACCAACUUAUGGCUUCUCGAGAACAAAAAAGAACACGUUCAAAGUACUACACACUUAUGCAACCAUAAUUAGAUUAAAGCAUGGUCACGGAGAACAAAAAGGAACACCUUCACAGUACUACACCCUUAUACAGUCAUAUGGUUUCGACAGAAUGGUAAGAGCAUGGUCUAAAAGCAUAAUGAAAAAUAUCAUUUCUAAUGAACAACAACCAAUUCGCCUCUCUUCAAACCUAGGCCAAAUUUAUCAUUCGGCUUAUGUACCAAGAACACAACAUCCUUUUUUGAAAAAUUAGCAUGCCAUUGUAAUACAAGUAUCAAGCAAUGUGAAUUUUAGUGUCAUAAAUUCAAUGAUCAUACUCUUGAACAUUCUUACCAGCCAUGUAUGUGGCCAAUAGUAAAAUCGUGAAUUCAUUACUUCUUAAAAAUAAAAAGAACAUGUUCACAGUGAUGAAUAUACCAGUUCAAACAAUCAUUCUUUAGACAAAAGGUGAUUGAAAGCAAAGAAAAAACAUAGGAAAAACAGCAAGGAAAUCGCUUAACUAAUCAAUUCACCUAACUUUAAAUCUGGUAAAAAGUUCUAAUAUUUUAAAGACAUAAGCAUGCCAUUGGUAUUCAAGGGUCACAUAUUCUUAUCUUAAAUACUUUCUCAUAAUGAUCAUGCUCUUGAAGAUCCCUACCAAUCAUGUUAUGCUUAAAAGUGGGAUAAUGCCAACACAUACUAGUUCAACCACUAUUUAUUUUUUAGACGAAAAGGUGAUCAAAAGCAUGAGCAAGAAUAGGUAAAACAGCAAGCAUAUUACUUUACUAACCAAAUGAACCUUACUUUAAAGCUAGUUGAAAUUUCUUAUCUAGGUGCUGUACUCAAAGGACAAACUUUGUUUUAAGGAUCCUAAGCAAAUCACAGAAAUUAUGCAGGCCUAAACUACAAAUCAAUGGCACAUCUAUAACAAAAAUGAC
rnacentral:lncRNA from 1 species